AAUCGAAGGGGAGAUCAACCUGCGGUGGAGGCGCUCGCUCGAGCGAGGAGGAAGACGAGGGAGCUAGGGGGCUGGCUGGGGCGCUCGGCGGCGGCGCUCGCGCGACGAGGAGGGAGGAAGACGAGCCACGGAGCGAGAGGGGAAGAAAAUCCUACGAGACCUGAUCUGGUCUAGUUGUCCAUCGAGUUUAACCCCACCCACCUUUCGGCUUCGUUCGUUUGGGUUCACGACCCGAUCCCCGUGGAUCACCCAGGCCGGGGACCCAAUCCCCGUGGAUCAACCAGGCCGGGGAUUAAAUUUCCUCUUCGGUUAUGCCCCGUGGCCCGUGCAGAUCCCAACCCGGCCCAUUCCCUCCAUGUCCCUCCAGAUCCCAACCUGGAGACGGCGGCGGCGGUGUCACCAUCCGAAGGCGACGACGGCGGUGUGCUCCACCCUCCCUCGCGCGCGACCUGGAUCACAACAGUGGCGUCGCAACCCCUGCCUUCCCCCUCUCGCGCGCGACCCGGAGCUGAGCGGCGGCGGCCCGCUAGCUCUCGCUCUUUUAUGUUUUCUUUGGUUGCUGGCAAAAUAGCAAUGAAGUCUGUUCAUUGUAAGGCAGUUGCAGGUUGGAUGGGUUCAUUUAUUUAUUGCAAGCAACCACCCUUUUAUGUUUUCUUUGGUUUAUCUAUAACUCUGCAGCAGUACUUGCGGAGAUGUACUGUGGAGGAAUCCAAACUCUUGGAGCAACUUGAAUAUCUCUAAAUGUUUUGAUCUUCCUCUGCUGAAUGAUGAGAACAUGCGGAGAGCUAUAUUUGGUGAUCACCAUUCUGCUGGGACUAGCAUUUGUGGCGAUACACAAUCUGCAACAUCUUUUCCCAGACUGGACGGAACUGACUAUAAGUUUGGCUUUCGGUUUGAUGACUUGGAAUAUGUCCGCCAAGAGGAUGAUAGAAGGACCUUGGGAGGACCUUUAUGCAUUUCCGACUCUUCUUCCAUGUGUAAAUGAAAAUGUCACGUUGUCGCAGAUCUUACCUCUGCAGAGAGAUAGCACACUUGCGUCGAGAGUUCUGAAAGUUUAUUCAGAGCAUGGCUUUGAAAGACCUCCUUCAUCCAGUGGGUAUUAUCCAAGAAUGCCUUUCUAAAUGUGUGGAUCACAUUGGAAAGCAAAUCAUAUGCAAGCUAACGGUUGAAUGGAGAUUAAUGGACGGACACUUAGUAUUACGAGCUAUCCAUUUGCUAGGAUCAGGUGUGCUAUACGGUGACAUGCUGCAGCAGUUUCUGAUAACAAUUUUUGAUAAGCUCGAUAAGGGGAAUUCCUGGGAUGAUGAUUUUUAGUUGAAUACUUUAUUGCAGGAAUCCAUCAUUUUAUGGAUGUCUCUGGGUGUUCAAAGCCCUAACAGAUAAAAGGGAUGUUUCUACUGGCUGCUCGAAGAUUCAGACAUGGGGCACAUACAGAAUAUAUCAUCUCUUACGACUCUGAUGAUCUAUAUCCAGGAAGUAACUCAGGUGUUGGAAAGAUGAGGUGAGGUCUAAACAUAACUUCCGUUUUGCUAGCUGAUCGGUGGGAUAUGAGUACACUUCUGUUGAUUAAAUGUCAAGUCACUAGAAGUCUAGAACUAUAAUGUGAUUAUGUAGACAUAGGAACCAGGCAUUGUAGUGCUGUUGUUUUAUCAGGUAAUGAAGAACUAGGAAAUGUGCUAGCUGACUUUCUGCUUAUGUUCAGCUAGCUCUUCCCAAUCCACAGUUUUGAGUUAUUUCCUUGUAAGCCAAUUGAUUUGGCUGCUUUUUUAUGUUAGUUUCUUCGCAGCAAUACUUCACUUCAGUCAAUGUGGAUCAAACUAGGACCUCAUAGAAUCUCUUUGACAAUCUAUGCCAAUCUGUCGCCCCAGCUGGCACCAGUAACCCACGGGGUGUUGGGAGACGAGGAGACAGUCAUCCUGCAGUUUGGGAAAAUUGAGGACGAUGCAUUCACGAUGGAUUUCCGGUAUCCCCUUGUCAGCCUUCCAGGCGUUCGCCAUCUGCCUCGCUUGUGAAUAAGUGUGACUGUUGAUCUAUCAUGCAUAGUGGAUGGCGGAUAAACGUGUAAAAAAAUAGUGGAUGGGGGAUAAUCCGGAACUAUCAUGCCCUGUUAAUAGAGAAAAGGGAUUAAGGAACCGUGACACACCGUGUUCACAAUCUCACUGUUCUCUUGUCUAAUGUUGAAGCAAUGUGCACUCAACACUGCUGUGAUGAUUAUUGUUGUAAAUGAUGCUCCAUUUCUUUU